AACAUCCUGGGAUGUGCGCCAUACCUUGUUUUUGAACCUGCUGCGGUUGACACGGGAGUUCGGAGUUUGCGCACGUAGCAUAGGCCUCAAGCUAAUUCCGACAAGCGGUGUAAGCCGCUUGCCUCGGCAGUGGAAAUGUGAAAUGCGCAACAGGACACCCACCUGGUGAGGGGCCAGGUGUCAAAAAAGGUUAACGGCAUCUUGGGGCAAAG
rnacentral:other from 1 species